rnacentral:rRNA from 1 species
UAGGGAAUCUUCGGCAAUGGACGAAAGUCUGACCGAGCAACGCCGCGUGAGUGAAGAAGGUUUUCGGAUCGUAAAACUCUGUUGUUAGAGAAGAACAAGGACGUUAGUAACUGAACGUCCCCUGACGGUAUCUAACCAGAAAGCCACGGCUAACUACGUGCCAGCAGCCGCGGUAAUACGUAGGUGGCAAGCGUUGUCCGGAUUUAAUGGGCGUAAAGCGAGCGCAGGCGGUUUCUUAAGUCUGAUGUGAAAGCCCCCGGCUCAACCGGGGAGGGUCAUUGGAAACUGGGGGACUUGAGUGCAGAAGAGGAGAGUGGAAUUCCAUGUGUAGCGGUGAAAUGCGUAGAUAUAUGGGGGAACACCAGUGGCGAAGGCGGCUCUCUGGUCUGAAACUGACGCUGAGGCUCGAAAGCGUGGGGAGCAAACAGG